AUUUUGCAAGUCGGAAAAAUUAACGAAUCGGAAGAUGGGUUUGGGAAGAGCCAUCCCAAGGCAAGGCAUUCGGGCCACGGAGAGAGUCGGCCUUCUCCUGGUUUUGGUUUGAGCUGGUCUUCCUAUUCGUUGCAGCGUGCAGUGCUUCGCUAAUUAGCCGCUAUUAAGCCUCGACGCGGACCACCGAGUCGGCGGGACGCUGAACCCCGAAGCCCCGGAAGCGAGACGUAGCCAGAGCUUCUAAGGAGCGGAGGCCUCCGACAAUAGACAGACGUCAAAGGAUGAAGCGACGAAGCGACGAAGCGAACUCCGGCCCUCAGAUACAAGACUGCCAUGUCACCUCUAAAACCACCAGCAGACAUAGAGGUAUCCGGUAUCGGAGUUGUACCAGGCGGAGGACGGAUCAGCGAACCAGCGGACCGGAUGAUAGAAAAACGGACAGCCGGCCACUCCAAUCGAGGCCGUCAUGUGAGACUGGCUGAGUGCACCACGGCGCAGACGAAACCCAGAACUAAUCCCGCUGAUGAGCCUUUGGAGAUGGAACCACACAGGAUAGGCCCCUGCUAUCUAAAUCCUGCAGGUGUUAGCUCACCCAGACCCAAUCGCUUCGAACCAUCCCGAAAAUGCCAACUUAAAGAGCCUCCGAAAAGGGUUAAGCAAUAGAUCGGUUUCCUAGGCGCCGCAUAUUCUCGAAUCCUGCAUCAUUUUUGUCAUUAAUAUUUUCAAACAGCUCAUUUGACAUUUUUCCAUUUAAUGAGCUCGCAGACGGAGGAGAACUGCCUUUUCGGAGGACUGUGACAUUCAGAGUAAUUUCGGUUUUUUCCAUAUCUGGCAAGGGUUUUAUUCCCACUUCUCUUUGGCACCCUUGAUUUUCCGGACAUCUUAUUAGGGCAAAGGAUGGAGGAGAUUUACCCAACACAAAUGAUACUGGGAAACUGGCAUCUGGGCCCUUCUGCCGCUCUUAAACACAAGCCCAGCCUCCUCCACGCCUGGUUUUUAAAAAGUAUUUCCAACGGAACAGACCAACGUCACAGGAUAAUGCUUUCCUGUUGCCUCGCCGACAUCGAGGCAAAAUUCAAAACAUCGAUCAAAGUAUAAGUGUUCCCAGAAAGAUGGAAUGGGAUAUUAAGAGGAGAAGACAAUAGCUGUGCGACAAUUUUCUUUUCCAAAUGACAAAUAAUUACUGCUCUAUCAUCAGAUGAUUAAGAAAUAAAGGAAAAUAGACAAA